GCGGUGCGGAAACGCGUUUGGAUUUGGACACCGCCGCUGUCCGUAGCUGGCGUUCCAACAUGGCGGCUCCCCAGGACGUCCACGUCCGGAUCUGUAACCAAGAGAUUGUCAAAUUCGACCUGGAAGUGAAGGCGCUUAUUCAGGAUAUUCGCGAUUGUUCAGGACCCUUAAGCGCACUUACCGAACUGAAUACUAAAGUGAAAGAGAAGUUUCAGCAGUUACGACACAGAAUACAGGAGCUUGAGCAGUCGGCUAAAGAGCAAGACAAAGAGUCGGAGAAGCAGCUUCUACUCCAGGAAGUGGAGAAUCACAAAAAGCAGAUGCUCAGCAAUCAGACCUCGUGGAGGAAAGCUAAUCUCACUUGCAAAAUUGCCAUCGACAAUCUAGAGAAAGCAGAACUUCUCCAGGGAGGGGAUCUCUUGAGGCAAAGGAAAACCACCAAGGAGAGCCUGGCCCAGACGUCCAGCGCCAUCACCGAGAGCCUCAUGGGCAUCAGCAAGAUGAUGUCCCAGCAGGUCCAGCAGAGUGAGGAAACCAUGCAUACCCUAGUCAACUCUUCACGAACCAUCCUAGAUGCAAAUGAAGAAUUCAAGUCCAUGUCGGGGACCAUCCAGCUGGGCCGGAAGCUCAUCACCAAGUACAACCGCCGGGAGCUGACAGACAAGCUGCUCAUCUUCCUUGCCCUGGCCCUUUUCCUCGCCACAGUCCUCUAUAUUGUGAAAAAGCGGCUCUUCCCCUUUCUGUGAGGUUGAGGGCCGCCAGCUCUGGCCCCUAAGCUCCUGUUUCAGGAUCCAUCCAGGCUUCUGAGCUCCAGCCCAGGCUGCCAAACUGAGCCACCCCAGCCAGCUGCCUGGCUGCUCAGCAGGUCUGAUGAAGAGGCAGCACGUCGGCUUUCUAGUUGGAUUUGACCCAUUUUGAAAUGUUGAAAACCUAUGAAGAGGCCUUCAAAAAUUUAAUGGAAAUCCAUACUGUGGAAAACCUACACGUGGAGUUCAAAAUGCCUGCACCAAAGCAAACUUACCUUUUGGUUCCAUUAUUCUGUGAAGUUUCUGAAGUCCCUUCAUUCUGGCAACCCUGGUCAGCCCCUAGGUUUAAGCCCUCCCACUCUGUUGGCUGUGUAAGAAGCUGCCCUCCCACAGUCAACCAUCAGAGGGCAGUAUCCACAUUUGCUCUGCCAUCUGGUAGUGGGGUGAUUGUCUCUCUCCAUUUGAAAUGUUCUACUGGACUUUUAGAAACAGAUGACAAAUUUUUUUUCAAAAGCCAUAUGAAUGUACAAUGCUUAGCUAUAUCUUGUUUUUGAAAUCUGUUUCAUAAGUGGCCGUAAUUUUCACUGUUAAUCAGUGAGGCAAGUUCAUGAGCUGUGUUGUGGUUAGUUGACAGUCAAGGAAUUGAAAGAUUCCCUGAGAUGGUUCAUUCAAGAUAUAUUUACUGAGCACUUACUGUAUACCAAGCACUUGUGUUAGGGAUGCACGGUAAAUAAAAACAGAUGCCCCAGGCCGUUGCCACGGCUCACUAGGCUAAUCCUCCGCCUUGUGGCGCCGGCACACCUGGUUCUAGUCCCGGUUGGGGCGCCGGAUUCUGUCCCGGUUGCCCCUCUUCCAGGCCAGCUCUCUGCUGUGGCCAGGGAGUGCAGUGGAGGAUGGCCCAAGUGCUUGGGCCCUGCACCCCAUGGGAGACCAGGAUAAGUACCUGGCUCCUGGCUUUGGAUCAGCGCAGUGCGCCAGCCGCAGCCGCGGUGGCCAUUGGAGGGUGAACCAAUGGCAAAGGAAGACCUUUCUCUCUGUCUCUCUCUCUCACUGUCCACUCAGCCUGUCAAAAACAAACAAACAAACAAAAACAGAUGCCCCAUGUCAGGGAGCUGCAGUCAUUCAUUAUGUAAGGUAAUAGUGGCCUGGGGAGAAGCAGAGCAGGUUAGUGAACACCUGGGAUGUUUGCAGUGGGAAGCAGAGUAGUCAAUGUUGGCCUCACUGGGGUGAGAUCUGAGUAAAGGCUGGAGGCACUGGGGCUGGUGUUGUGGAGCAGUGGGUUAAGCUGCUGCUUAUGACUCUAGCACUCUGUGUAUGAGCACUGCUUCAAGUCCCAGCUGCUCUGCUUCCAGUCCGGCUCCCUGCUGGUUCACCUGGGAGGCAGCAGAUGGUGGCCCAAGUGUUUGGGUCCCUGCCACCCCCUGGGAGAUGUGGAUGGAGUUCCAGGCUUCUGACUGGGCCUGGCCCAGCCCCUGGCUGUUAUGGCCAUUUGGGGAGUAAACCAGUAGUUGAAGAUCUCUUGUUGCUGUCUCUUUUUCUCUUCCUGUCACUCUUUCAAAUAAAUAAAUCUUUUAUUUAAAAAAAAAUUAAGGAGUUCUGCACAAAACAAACAUAACAAAAAAGACAGGAGGCAGGCAACUGAGCCACGUGCAGGUGAGGGCAGAGGUUCCACAAGGAGGGAGCGGCCACGCAGAGGCCGAGCAGGUCCAUGCAGGUGGCGGAGCUGAGGGACAGCAAGGAAGCCAGCAUGGCAGGGCGUGGCAGGAGCAGAGCGUGAGGUCUCCAUGCCGCCCGCCGCUCAGCAGUUCUUCCAGGGCGUCCCGGGCUGUGUGAAACCACGCUCUCUUGUGUUUCCUUUCACUUCUCGGCAGCGCCUCCCUCUGUUCAUCUUCUCAGCCUUAAAUGCUGCUCAGAUCCUGUUCCCUCCCCUCCCUUCGUGUAUUCUCUCAAAGCCAAGGUCUUCCAUGACUCCAGCUUCAGUGGUCCCCGAGUUCUGUCAGCAGUGCCCACUUCUCAGGGGAGCGCUGACCCCAGGAUCAUCAUCAUCACCCCAGAGACUCUCAGGCCCUCCACCUGCGUGCAUGGCCGACACCCGCCCCACAGCAGGCCCUUCUCCAGGCUGCACUUCCAUUUCCCCUUCUGGGGUCUGCUGGGGCUCGGGGCAUACCACCCCAGAAUAUGUCUGUGGGAGACCAGAAUAUGCCACCCCAACAUCUUCUCUGGCAUAUCCUGGGCUGGUUUUUCCGAGAAACCCAGAUACUGGAGUAGUUCUGAAAAGCUUUAUUUAGAGACAUUUUGUAGAGAAGGGACAUUACAUUAGCAGAGGACCUGGGUCAAGAGGAGGGCAGCCCCUGACUCAGGGGAGAAGGACCUCCCCUGUGUGGGAGACCUCCUCAGCUCCCCACUGCCCCCCUACAGCUGUCACCACUGUCCCCAGGAGCCCACAGCCCCUGUUCUUGUCUGUAGCUCAGACUGCCCUGUGAGCUUCCAUCACUAACCCUUCUUGUCUCCGGCUUGUGGGGCUUUCCAUGUGCUUCAGCACAUAUCUAAGUGCAGGUUUUCUCUGGUUAACCUGGUUUAUGGCCAUUUAAUCUGUUGCCUAGACAAAGCCCCUCAGAAAGGUGGGUGGAAGGCGUGUUUUAUUCUCCUGCAGACCCCUCUCCCAUGGAACCUUGUUCCCCCAAACCAGAGAUGAGACUACUUCAGCAGUGCCUGGAAAUGACGUUUGCAGGAGCUGGCAACAGGACGCCGUGUUGGUGAAUUUAGCUCUCCCUCACCCCGUGCCCCACUGAAGGCAGUUUGGCAGGGUAACUCAAUAUGGAGAGGAAGGAAAAGAUAGUAAAACAAGUUCUAUUUUCUUCCCGGCCUAAUGGUGGUCUUCUCUCAGGCCCCUCCACCGAGUAGGCCCAAGCUGUGUUUCUUCCCCAAGCAAGGGCAGAAUAAAAAUAGCUGAGGCUAAUCUAAGAGAUAGCAGACAGGAGUCUCAGCAGUGCUGUCAGGAAUGACGGCCUGCAGCCUGGGGUGAGGGGAGGGUGGGUGUUAUCACCCCCAAUGUCCCUUCAGUCCCCAACAGCAAGCCCAGGCGACACACCAAGAGCCCUGGGGACCGUGGCCAUGGGCAUGGUGUUGAUCAGUCUGUAUCUUUAAUGGGCUACCGUGCAGCAAUUAAAAUGCAGCCUUUGGUGGCAGAGGCCUGGGUUCUGACUGUCCUCUUCUCCAUCAUUGUCUCCUGUCUGCAGCACAGGGACAGCCAAUGGCAAGGGCACUGGGAGGAACAGAGCACAAGAGGCUAGGCAGGUAGAGACUCCCGCGUCCCACCUUGGAGUGCCUGGGUUCCGUCCUUCUCCCCAGGUCCUGAGUCCAGCUCCCUGCUGGGGUGGACCCCGAGAGGUAGCUGUGAUAGCUCGAGUAAGUGGUUCCUGCCACCUACACGGGAGACCUGGAUUGGCUUCUCAGCCUGACUGCAGCCAUUGCAGGCGUUUGCAAAGUGAGCUGGCUGGCGGAAGUUCUCUUUUGUCUCUCUGCCUCUCAAAUACAUUUUUAAAAGAAAAGGACUAAACCUAGACCAAGAACACGUAAGGCGCCUCUCACACAGUAACCCCAAUAGCUGCCACGCUCAUUCCCAAACAAAAGUUGAGUGGCCUCAUUCCCCUUUCUCUUUUGGGCUUAACUUCAGGAAAACAGUGCUUAAGAUGAGAAGAGGCUGCUGGGCUUGGCAAGGAAACAGAAACCCAGGCUGCACUUUCUCAAACGGCUGAGAGCUGAGGGUAGGGCAGAGCAGGCCCUGGCCAACGGCCCUCCUUCCCAGUCCACAAGAAAAGCAAAUGGGUCACAUUAGCUCAGUGUGAAAUGUUGUCUUUCCUAUUAUUUUUAAAUCAUUAUUUUCUCCCUCCUUCCCCGGAAAUCUUUUGAAAGGAAGAGUGACACACAGAGAGAGAGGGAGAAUCAGAGAGAUCUUCUGUCUGCUGGUUCACUCCCUAAAUGACCACGAAGGCUGGGAUUGGGCCAGGCCAGAGCCAGGAGCCAGGAACUCCAUCUGGGUCUCCCAUGGGUGACAGGGUCCAAAGUAAUUGGGCCAUCAUCUGUUGCCUUUCCAAGGGCAUCAGCAGGGAGCUGUAUCAGAAGUGGAGCAGCCAGAACUUGAACCAGCCCAGCAUCUAUAGGAGGAGGCCUGUGUUGGCAAGUAGCAGCUUAACCCACUACGACACAACACCCGCCCCUCCCCUGCCAUCUUGUUUGAUGGACAAGAGUUCUCCUCAGUGAAAUGAAUCCAGAGCAGCAAAUGACUAGAGGCUGCAAAACGAGCAAGGGGCAAAUCAGGCUUCUAAAAAUAUUUAUUUAUUUAAUUCUUUUUUGGACAGGCAGAGUUAGUGAGAGAGACAGAGAGAAAGGUCUUCCUUUUCUGUUGGUUCACCCCCAAAAUGGCCGCUACGGCCGGUGCUCUGUGGCUGGCGCGAUGCGCCAAUCCGAAGCCAGGAACCAGGUGCUUCCUCCUGGUCUCCCAUGCAGGUGCAAGGCCCGAGCUCUUAGGCCAUCCUUCACUGCCUUCUCGGGCCACAGCAGAGAGCUGGCCUGGAAGAGGAGCAACUGGGACAGAAUCCGGCGCCCCAGUCGGGACUAGAACCCGGGGUGCUGGCACCGCAGGCGGAGGAUUAGCCAAGUGAGCUGCAGCGCCAGCCAAUUUAUUUAAUUUUAAUUUGAGAGAGAGAGGUGACAGAGAGCUCCCCUCUGCUGGUUUAUUCCCCAGAUGCUCACAACAACUGGGGUUGAACCAGGACAAAGCCAGGAGCUAGGAACUCCAUCCAGGUCUUCCAUGUAGGUGACAGGGACCCAACUACUUGGGCCACCUCCUGCUGCCUCCCAGGGAGCACAGUCACAGGAAGCAGGAUUGGAAGUGGAGGAGCCAGGACUCCAGUGUAGGAUUCAGGCAUCUCAAGUGCUGUGCCAGACACUUGCUGUGGCCUGUCACUUUUAAGCUAGUUGCUGGACUGAUAGGAAAGACAAGACUGCUCACGGCAGGAGUUUCUAUCUCUACGAAGGGUGCUCCUGGUUUGCGUGGUCUGGCUCUUCUGAGCCCAUGAUGGAUUAGAGGACAGGGUAGCAGGGGCUGCUAGGCUGCAGGGCCCUUAGCUGCCUUCCUGAAUGCCCUCCUUCCCUACGCCUGCCCCACUGCCUUCCUGUGUGUGUCCUGCAGCCAGUCUCCACGCUGGGCCCGGAAGACCCAAGAGUAAGCUUGCUGCAGCCUCACAAAUGAGCCUGUCAGGAGACCAUCCCAGAGCCAGCAGACACACCCAAGAGUGGCCCAGGGCCCCUGGGAAGCCCAAUGCUGUGAUUCCUCUAGACCACCUAGAAGCAGCAGUUGGCAACACUUGGCGUGACGUUGAAGUUCGGAGUGUUAAGUUCGGGAUGGGAUCCUGAUGCGGAUACAGUUACCCAGUGUUCACUGUGCGCCUCUCACCGUGUGUCCCACUCAAGCAGGAGGUGGGUGGCAGUGUUGCAGCAGAAACAGUCGGGGCCCAGAAAGAAGCCCAGGCAGGUUCACACAGGCAGUCGCCAGGUGGACCUGGGCUUCAGAUCCAGGUCGUGGGGCUCCAGGGUCUCUGGAAUCCUCUCCAUGGCAGGAAUGAGAGAGGCCAAGGAAGCUGGGGCUGAGAGGUGAGGGAUGGCAGGCGGGCAUGGGCGGGCACUAGAAGGACUGGUUCCUGUCCCUGCGUAGGGCAGUGACAGAGCAGAAGGGAGGAGGGAGUUGGAGGGUGGGGUGGUGCCUGAGCGCCACAUAAGCAAAGGAAGGAAUUCACUUGGAGAACAAUCCAGGCACCUUGCUCUCCAAGGCCUCAAAAGCGUGAACACAGAAUCACCAUAUGAUCCAGCCAUUGCGCUUUGGGUACAGACCUAAAAGAACUGAGAGCAGAAACUAGAACAGAUCUUUGUACCCCUCUCUAUAUAGGAUUAUUCACAACAGCUAAAAGUGACCAUAUAGUGACUGAAGGGUGAGCAGAAUAACAAAAUGAGGUGUAGUCAUAUGAUAGAAUAAUCGUCAUCCUUCACAAAGGAGCAGUGGGCUUUUCUGAAAAAAGAAAGAAAGAAAGAAAGAAAGAAAGAAAGAGAGAGAGAGAGAGAGAGAGAGAGAGAAAGAAAGAAAGAAAGAAAGAUAGAUUCCAAUACAUGCUAUACUGUGGGUAAACAUUCAAAACUUUAUGCUAAGUGAAAUAAUCCACAAAGGGGCAAAUAUUAUUUAAUUCCAUUGACAUAAGUGCCUGGAAUAGUUAAAUGCAUAGCGAGAGAAAGUAGGAUAGAAAUUACUGGGACUGCAGAGAGCAGAGAAUGAGGAGUCAGUGUUUCUUGGACAUCGAUUCUCUCAGUUUGGGCUGGAGAUGGUUGGUAGUGCUGAUGGCGCAAUGUUGAAUGUCCUUAAUUAAUGCCACUUGGUAAUGACUGAAAUGAACACUCUGACAGCUGCCAUUGGUUCUGAUUUCCAGUUUGCCGCACAAUCCCAGAACCUGCCUCUGUCAGAGCUUCCUCAUGGCCCCGGCACCAGCCAGGCUAUGGCCACCUGACCCAGGAGUCUGGCUUCUGCUCCCCUACUCUCUGUUCCACCAGCUGUAGGCGUGGUUGCUGCUCUCUGUAUCCACCCCCCACCCCAUCCUUGUGGCACCUCAGGACUCACUUUAGGUUUGCCUUUUAAAUUCUUCAGUGUUUGGUUAACCUGCUCCCUGUAUGAAAUUAUGAAAUUCCACUGGGAUGGGUGUUUGGCUUAGAGGUUGGGAUACCAAUUAAAACACCUAAAUCCUAUAUUGGAGCGAGUGCCUGGGUUCAGCACCUGGCUCUGGCUCCUGACUCCAGCUUCCUGCUAAUGCAGACCCUAGGAGGCAGUGGUGAUGGCUCAAGUAGUUGGGUUCCUGCCUCCCACAAGAGAGAUCUGGAUUGAAUUCCAAGCUGUUGCUGACAUUUAGGAAGUAAACAGGUAGAUGGGAAAUUUCUGUCUAUCUUUCCUGCCUCUCAGAUUAAUACACCAAAUUCUAAUGGGGAAAAACAAAUAUCAUGUUAUGUAUAUUUUACUACUACAGGAAUUUUUUUAAAAGAUUAUUUAUUUGAAAGAGUUACACAGAGGGGAAGGAGAGACAGAGAGAGAGAGAGGUCUUCCAUCCACUGGUUCACUCCCCAACUGGCCAGAGCUAGGCCAAUUCGAAGCCAGGAGUGGGUGCAGGGGCCCAGGGAGUUGGGCCAUCUUCCACUGCUUUCCUGGGCCAUAGCAGAGAGCUGAAUUGGAAGUGGAGCAGCCAGGAUUCAAACCACUGUCCAUAUGAGAUGCCGGCUUUAUCCACUAUGCCACAGCGCCAACUCCCAUGGAAAUUUUUAAAGUGGGAGGGAUUUCCUGGGGCCAGUAGUCCAGGAUGCCUGGGCCAUGCUGAGGACAGCCUCCUGGUCUCAGGUGCACAGCCCCGGACUCUGCCACCUACUGUGGCCCUGCUCUGCUCCAGCAUAAGCAGCUUCUUGCCAGCCACUUGCAGCUCUGGGACUUCGGGUGGAAAGGCACUGUCCCCCCAGAGCCAGCAGGAAAGCCCAGGCAGGCAAGGGGCGCCCAGUGCAGACGCUGGACACCCCAAAGUGAGCUCCAAACCCCCCUCAGCCCCUGUACCGUCUCCAGAAGGAGCUUUCCUUUGUCCCUCCCUGUCCCUACUGCUUUCAUGGGACCUCAGUGGCUUAGCCUUAGGCUAACCUCGGAAACCUUCCCUGGCCCCAACCCCGGGCUUGAGGUGUAUUCCUGGAACUGAGGUCGGGGACAGGGAGGAGGAGAACAAUGGGCUGGGUGUGGUCAUUGGCAGAGGAAGGCUGGGGACCUCCAGUGUCACCAGGGGAGGUGUCAGUUUACCUCUAAGCCCUGCCAGGGGGUCCGUUGUCUUGGUCUCCCUUUCCCAAGGUGACAGACAGCCUUCCUCCAGUGUCCCCAGUGAAGGCCUAGGCAGAGCCAAGGAUGGGGGGUGGGGGUGGGAACAGUGGGGUGGGGGCAGAUGGAUGGAGGGGAGCUGAGCACCAGCUGAGCAUCGCCCGGGUUCUAAGGUUCUUGGGAAUUUGGGUUCAAGAAACACUGUGUCACUCUGAGAUCCUUUAACAAGAAGUUUCCAAAUUCUCAGUUUCUUCCAUCAAAAGUGGAGCCCGGGGCCGGCGCAGUGGCUCACUUGGUUAAUCAUCCGCCUAUAGCGCCGGCAUCCCAUAUGAGCGCCGGGUUCUAGUGCCAAUUGCUCCUCUUCCAGUCCAGCUCUCUGCUGUGGCCAGGGAAGGCAGUGGAGGAUGGGCCCCUGCACCCACAUGGGAGACCAGGAGGAGGAACCUGGCUCCUGGCUCCGGAUCGGGACAGCGGCCAUGGUGGCCAUUUGGGGGGUGAACCAACAGAAGGAAGACCUUUCUCUCUCUCUCUCUCUCUCUCUCUCUUUCUCUCUCUCACUGUCUAUCUGUCAAAUAAAAAAAAAAGUGGAGCCCAAGUCCUCUGAUUUUCCACAUGGGUUCACUUUCGUGACUUGUUUCGGACUCUAGACUGUGGUGGAGUCACACACACUGUGACACCUGAGACUCCCUGAUAGGGCCUGUUGGAGCCACCUGGCGCUCUUCCUGGGAAUACUUGCUGUUUGUUUUGUUUUUUAAGAUUUACUUGAGAGACAGAGGCAGAGAGAAAGAGAAGUCUUUGAUUUGCUGGUUCACUCCCUAGAUGGCUGCAACGCUGGAGCUGUGCCAAUCCAAAGCCAGAAGCCAGGAGCUUCCUGCAGGUCUCACAUGGGGUGCAGGGGCCCAAACACUUGGGCCAUCUUCUACAGCUUUUCCAGGCUGUAGCAGAGAGCUGGAUCAGAAGUGGAGCAGCCAGGACUUGAACUGGUGCCCAUAUGGGAUGCCGGUGCUGCAGGCAGCAGCUUUACCUGCUAUGCCACAGCACUGGCCCCAUACACUUGCUGUCUUUCACCCCAGCCACCACGCUGUGCUGUGCGGAGGCUCCAGCAACACCUACUGAUGCUCUCUUGCCCAGCUGAGGUUCCAGUCAACAGCCUGCAGGCAUCAAGUACCAGGCCUUCUACACAAUUUCAGGGCCAGCCGCCAGGAGACUGCUCUGCAUCAGAGACUCGAGGCAGGAAACUCCCAGCUGAGCCCAGCCAAUCCCCAGAACCACAAGAGAGAGUACCAAUAAUGCCAGCAGACUUGGGGUGAUUUGUUACUCAGCGCAAGAUGCAUAUAGCAUGCCGCCCUGCCUCUCUCGCGGUAUACAUUCCCUGGGUUGAUUUUAUCUUUAUUGUAUGAACAUCAGGUUUGUUUUGAUUAUCAAAGUGAAACACGCUGAUGUAGAAUGAACCUAAGUGUUGGGGCUGGCGCUGUGGCUCACAUGGUUAAUCCUCCACCUGCAGCGCCGGCAUCCAAUAUAGGCGCUGGGUUCUAGUCCCAGUUGCUCCUCUUCCAGUCGAGCUCUCUGCUGUGUGUUGGGAAGGCAGUGGAGGACGGCCCAGGUACUUGGGCCCCUGCACCCGCAUGGGAGACCAGGAGGAAGCACCUGGCUCCUGGCUUUGGAUCAGCGCAGCGUACCGGCCAUGGCGGCUAUUUGGUGGGUGAACCAACAGAAAAGGAAGACCUUUCUCUCUGUCCUCUCUCUCUCUCUCACUAUCUGACUCUGCCUGUCAAAUAAAGAAAAAAAAAAGGAUAUAGGAAGAAAGAAAAAAGAUGAUGUCUAACCUCUCUUUAAAAAAAAAAAAAAGAAUGAACCUAAGUGUCCAUCGAUGAAUGGAUAAGGAAAAUGUAGUACAUAUACACGAUGGCAUAAUAUUCAGUGAUAAAAUACAUGAAAUCUGUCAUUUUCAGGAACUGGAGGUCAUUGUGUUAAGCACAGAAGGGCUGCAAACUGCAUGUUCUCACUUAGAUGUAGACACUAAAAUGUUGCUCUACAAGAAGCAGUGAAUUAAGCAGUGGUUACCAGAGCCUGGCAGGGGUAUGGGGAGGGGAAGGUGGGGGGAGGCGGGUUAAUGAGUGCAGGGUUGUGGGGUAACUGUGAUUGACAACAGUAAUUGUUUCCAAAUAGCUGGUAGAGAGGAUCUUGAAUGUUCCCAACACAAAGAAAUGAUAGCUGUCUGAGGUGAUGGUUAUGCCCAUCUUCCUAACUUGAACACUCUGUACUGCACACAUGGAUUGAAAGGUCACAGUGAGGAGCCAGUGCUGUUGCGUAGCAUGUAAAGCUGCCACCCACAGUGCCAGCAUCCCAUACAGGCACCAGAUUGAGUCCUGGCUGCUCCAUUUCUGAUCCAGCUCUCUGCUAUGGCCUGGGAAAGCAGUGGAAGAUGACCCAAGUCCUUGGGCCCCUGCACCCAUGUGGGAGACCCAGAAGAAGCUCCUGGCUCCUGGCUUCAGAUCAGCCCAGCUCUGGCUUUUGCAUCCACCUGGAGAGUGAACCAGCGGUUGAAAGACCUCUCUCUUUCUCUCUCUGCCUCUAUAUAUAUAUAACUCUGACUUUUAAAUAAAUAAAUCUUAAGGAAAAAAAAGUGUACUUAGAAAGAAAUGUCACAAGGUAUUCUGUAAAUUUGCACAACUACUAUGUGUCAGUUAAAAUUGUGUAUAUUUAUAAAAGAAUCCCAGAGCUCCCAUGGUGGUGCAGCACUUGCAGCCACACUGGCUUCCCAGAUUGGAGCACUGGCUGCAGUCCUGGCUGCUCCACUUCUGAUCCAGCUCCCUGCUAAUGCACCUGGGAAGGGAGCAGAUGAUGGCCCAAGUGCUUGGGAACCUGCCACCCAUUUGGGGAGACCCAGAUGGAGAUCCAGGCUCUUGGCUUCAGCCCAGCCCAGCCCUGGCUUUUGGGGGCAUCUGGGGAGUGAACCAGCAGAUGGAAGAUUGAUCUCUUUCAUUCUCCCCCCACCUCUUUCUGUUGCUCUGCCUUUCAAUAUAUCAAUCGAUGUAUCUUUAAAAAAAAAAAAAGUCCUAAGUAACAAGAAAUGAUAAAUGCUUGAAAUGAUGGAUUUAUUAGUUCCCCUUGAUCCAAUCAUCACAUAGCGAAUAAAAUAUAUUGAAUUAUCACACUGUGCCCCACAAAUAAGUACAAUUUUUUUUUUUAAUAUUUGACAGGUUGAGAUAGAAGACAGAGAGAUCUUCCUUCCGUUGAUUCACCCCCCAUAUGGUCGCUAUGGCCGGUACUGCGCCUAUCUGAAGCCAGGAGCCAGGUGUUUCCUCCUGGUCUCCCAUGCGGGUGCAAGAGCCCAAACACCUGGGCCAUCCUCCACUGCCCUCCCGGGCCACAGCAGAGAGCUGGACUGGAAGAGGGGCAACUGGGACAGAAUCCAGUGCCCAUAUGGAAUGCCAGCACCGCAGGUGGAGGAUUAACCAAGUGAGCCACGGCGCCAGCCCCAAGUGCAAUUAUUUUUUAUAAAGAUUUAUUUAUUUGCAAGUCAGAGUUACACAGAGAGGAGAGGCAGAGAGAGAGAGAGAGGUCCUCCAUCCGCUGGUUCACUCCCCAGUUGGCCGCAACGGCCAGAGCUGCGCCAAUCUGAAGCCAGGAGCCAGGAGCUUCUUCCAGGUCUCCCACGUAGGUGCAGGGUUCCAACGACUUGGGCCAUCUUCCACUGCUUUCCCAGGCCAUAGCAGACAGCUGGAUUGGAAAUGGUGCAGCCGGGUCUCAAACGGGCGCCCAUAUGGGAUAUGCCGGCACUUCAGGCCAGGGCGUUAACAUGCUGCGCCACAGUGCUGGCCCCAGUACAAUUGUUUUUUAAUUGAACUUUUUUAAUGUUUGAAGAGAAAAACAGAAACAUUAAAAAAUUCAGGAAAUACUGAAGAAAAAAAAAAUCUGAUGACCUACCUCCCAGAGAUAAUCACUGACAUAGUAGGUGCUAGAUAAAUGUUCCGGAUGAGGUGAGUGAGCCUGAUGAGCCGAGCACGCUAGGGUUGACUCCCCUCCUUUAACAAGUCAUGCAGUCAAAUGGCAAGAAUGGUCCUAGUGAAGGGGUGGGGGGCUGUGGGGCAGUAACACUGUGCCUUGCAUAUCCCUUGGUGACACCUGGAUUAGACUAGUAACACCUGGCAACACCUGGGCAAAGGUGGAUGAAGAGUUUGGGGGAUGCCACAAGCCCUGGCCAACAUCAUAUGGGCCAAUCUCAAGGAGGCCCAACUAUUGAAAUGGAACUAUUGUUUUUGUGAUUUAAAAAAAUUUAUUUGAUAGGCAGAGAGGGGGAGACAGAGGAGAUAUUCCAUCCACUGGUUUACUCCCCAAAAUGGCUGCAUAGGCUGGGGCUGGGCCAAGCCAGUCAGGAGCCUAGAACUCCACCUGGGUCUCCCACAUGGGUACAGGGCCCUGGUCCUUGGGCCAUCUUCCAUUGCUUUCCCAGGUGCUUUAGCAGAGAACUGGAUCAGAACUGGGCAGCUGGGACUCGAACCAGUGCUCUGAUAUGGACUUAACCUGCUGCCCCACAACACAAGUCCCCAGAACUAUUGGUUUUGUAGCCAAAGUCUGGUGUUGUGCCCACGUAGAGAAACUAGUUAAUCAGUGCAGCUGGGCGAACAGAGCAGGUGGCCCCAGGGGCCUCCUCUGGGUGUCCCAGCUCUGCCCACGUCCACUGCCCCUGGUUCCAGUCUCACCUACAAACGCCUCUUCAGGACCACACAGGGCCAGACCUUGCAGCAGCCCCACUCCUGGCCUCCAGGUGUGUCCUGAGCUCAUUAGGUGCCAGACGCAUGAACAGAAUGCCUAUGGAUUGACUUGUUAUGGGGCCUGUGUUCAGUGAUCUCAUGCUAAAUGAUUUGGUUUAUGUGGCCUUGCAUUUUUCAUAGCAAAUCCAUUGAACACUAGUCUUGUGAGCCCGGGUAUGUUUCCUAGGGACACUUAACAAAGUACCACAAACUGGCUGAUUUAGAAGAGAAUAUUCUUGUCCUGCUGUU